rnacentral:rRNA from 1 species
GAUGAACGCUGGCGGCGUGCCUAAUACAUGCCAGUCGAGCGAACAGAUAAGAAGCUUGUUCCUUUGACGUUAGCGGCGGACGGGUGAGUAACACGUGGGUAACCUACCUAUAAGACUGGGAUAACUUCGGGAAACCGGAGCUAAUACCGGAUAAUAUUUCUAACCGCAUGGUUCGAUUGUGAAAGAUGGUUUUGCUAUCACUUAUAGAUGGACCCGCGCCGUAUUAGCUAGUUGGUAAGGUUACGGCUUACCAAGGCGACGAUACGUAGCCGACCGGAAAGGGGGAUCGGCCACACGGGAGCGGGGACGCGGACCAGACUCCUACGGGAGGCAGCAGAAGGGAAUCUGCCGCAAUGGGCGAAAGCCUGACGGAGCAGCGCCGCGUGAGUGAUGGAGGUCUUCGGAGCGUAAAACUCUGUUAUUAGGGAAGAACAUACGUGUAAGUAACUGUGCACGUCUUGACGGUACCUAAUCAGAAAGCCACGGCUAACUACGUG